GGGGGGCCUGCAGGGUCGGACGAUUCGCGGCCUAUCAGCUUGUUGGUGAGGUAACGGCUCACCAAGGCAUCGACGGGUAGCUGGUCUGAGAGGACGAUCAGCCACACUGGGACUGAGACACGGCCCAGACUCCUACGGGAGGCAGCAGUAGGGAAUCUUGCACAAUGGGCGAAAGCCUGAUGCAGCGACGCCGCGUGGGGGAUGAAGGCCUUAGGGUCGUAAACCCCUUUCAGUGGGGACGAAAUUGACGGUACCCACAGAAGAAGCCCCGGCCAACUACGUGCCAGCAGCCGCGGUAAGACGUAGGGGGCGAGCGUUGUCCGGAUUUAUUGGGCGUAAAGGGCUCGUAGGCGGUUGCGUAAGUCGGAUGUGAAAACUUAGGGCUCAACCCUGAGACGCCAUCCGAUACUGCGCUGACUUGAGUUCGGUAGAGGAGUGUGGAAUUCCUAGUGUAGCGGUGAAAUGCGCAGAUAUUAGGAGGAACACCAAUUGCGAAGGCAGCACUCUGGGCCGAAACUGACGCUGAGGAGCGAAAGCGUGGGUAGCAAACAGGAUUAGAUACCCUGGUAGUCCACGCCGUAAACGGUGGGCACUAGGUGUGGGGUCUUUCAACGGACUCCGUGCCGAAGCUAACGCAUUAAGUGCCCCGCCUGGGGAGUACGGAAU
rnacentral:rRNA from 1 species